rnacentral:rRNA from 1 species
GCUCCAAUAGCCGUAUAUUAAAGUUGUUGCAGUUAAAAGCUCGUAGUUGAAUUUCGGGAUCAGUAUGUUGGUCAUGCCUCUGGUAUGUACUGAUCUCACUGAUUCCUCCUUCCUUAUGAACCGUAAUGCCAUUAAUUUGGUGGUGCGGGGAAUUUGGACUGUUACUUUGAAAAAAUUAAAGU